UACGAAGGGGGCUAGCGUUGUUCGGAGUUACUGGGCGUAAAGGGCGCGUAGGCGGCGCACCAAGUCAGGCGUGAAAGCCCUGGGCUCAACCCGGGAAUUGCGCUUGAGACUGGUGUGCUUGAGUACGGGAGAGGAUAGUGGAAUUCCCAGUGUAGAGGUGAAAUACGUAGAUAUUGGGAAGAACACCGGUGGCGAAGGCGGCUAUCUGGACCGUAACUGACGCUGAGGCGCGAAAGCGUGGGGAGCAAACAGG
rnacentral:rRNA from 1 species